rnacentral:rRNA from 1 species
CUUGACACUGAACAUUGAGCCUUGAUGUGUAGGAUAGGUGGGAGGCUUUGAAGUGUGGACGCCAGUCUGCAUGGAGCCGACCUUGAAAUACCACCCUUUAAUGUUUGAUGUUCUAACGUGGACCCGUAAUCCGGGUUGCGGACAGUGUCUGGUGGGUAGUUUGACUGGGGCGGUCUCCUCCUAAAGAGUAACGGAGGAGCACGAAGGUUGGCUAAUCCUGGUCGGACAUCAGGAGGUUAGUGCAAUGGCAUAAGCCAGCUUGACUGCGAGCGUGACGGCGCGAGCAGGUGCGAAAGCAGGUCAUAGUGAUCCGGUGGUUCUGAAUGGAAGGGCCAUCGCUCAACGGAUAAAAGGUACUCCGGGGAUAACAGGCUGAUACCGCCCAAGAGUUCAUAUCGACGGCGGUGUUUGGCACCUCGAUGUCGGCUCAUCACAUCCUGGGGCUGAAGUAGGUCCCAAGGGUAUGGCUGUUCGCCAUUUAAAGUGGUACGCGAGCUGGGUUUAGAACGUCGUGAGACAGUUCGGUCCCUAUCUGCCGUGGGCGCUGGAGAACUGAGGGGGGCUGCUCCUAGUACGAGAGGACCGGAGUGGACGCAUCACUGGUGUUCGGGUUGUCAUGCCAAUGGCACUGCCCGGUAGCUAAAUGCGGAAGAGAUAAGUGCUGAAAGCAUCUAAGCACGAAACUUGCCCCGAGAUGAGUUCUCCCUGAGACUUAGAGUCUCCUGAAGGAACGUUGAAGACGACGACGUUGAUAGGCCGGGUGUGUAAGCGCAGCGAUGCGUUGAGCUAACCGGUACUAAUGAACCGUGAGGCUUAACCUUACAACGCCGAAG